rnacentral:rRNA from 1 species
AAUAGAUACCCAGGUAGUCCUAGCCGUAAACGAUACUCGCUAGGUGUCGGCCACGGUGCGACCGUUGUCGGUGCCGUAGGGAAGCCGUGAAGCGAGCCACCUGGGAAGUACGGCCGCAAGGCUGAAACUUAAAGGAAUUGGCGGGGGAGCACCACAACGGGUGGAGCUUGCGGUUUAAUUGGAUUCAACGCCGGAAAUCUUACCGGGACCGACAGCAACAUGAAGGCCAGGCUGAAGACUUUGCCGGAUUAGCUGAGAGGUGGUGCAUGGCCGUCGUCAGUUCGUACUGUGAAGCAUCCUGUUAAGUCAGGCAACGAGCGAGACCCACGCCCACAGUUGCCAGCGUACUCUCCGGAGUGACGGGUACACUGUGGGGACCGCCGCUGCUAAAGCGGAGGAAGGAAUGGGGCAACGGUAGGUCAGUAUGCCCCGAAUAUCCCGGGGCUACACGCGAGCUACAAUGGUUGGUACAAUGGGUAUCUACCCCGAAAGGGGAUGGAAAUCUCCUAAAGCCAAUCUUAGUUCGGAUUGAGGGCUGCAACUCGCCCUC